GCUAGACCGAUGAGGAAAUCGACAUAAAGAUCAAUUUUGUAUUCUUGUGCACGGGAGGAGAAUGGCAAGUAAUAGUUCUCGAUGAAAUCGUUGGUGCCAAUGCUGAUAAUGUAGAGGGCGUCGCUGAGUCUCUUGUUGGCCUCUGCCUCUCCUAGAUGAGCUCGGAGUUUAACUUGAUAUUCUUUGAAGUAGGCAACCUCUUUCGAUAGAGGGAUGACAGACAGCACAUUCGACGUCUCCUUAUCCA
rnacentral:misc_RNA from 1 species